GACAGAGGGUGCAAACGUUGUUCGGAAUUACUGGGCGUAAAGCGCGUGUAGGCGGCCCAGCAAGUCGGAUGUGAAAGCCCUGGGCUUAACCUAGGAAGUGCAUUCGAAACUGCUGGGCUUGAGUUCUGGAGAGGAAGGCGGAAUUCUCGGUGUAGAGGUGAAAUUCGUAGAUAUCGAGAGGAACACCGGUGGCGAAGGCGGCCUUCUGGACAGUGACUGACGCUGAGACGGCGAAAGCGUGGGGAGCAAACAGGG
rnacentral:rRNA from 1 species